GCCAGUGUAGCUCAGUGAUAGGAGCACUUGUCUAGCAUACUGGAGGGCGGUGGGUCUGAGUUCAAUCCUCAGCACUGCUC
rnacentral:tRNA from 1 species